UUGAACCCCAUUGCCGCGGGGAAGCUAGCACGCGACCCAAUUGUCCAGUAAUCGUCCACAGUUGAGUGAGGUGGUGCUUUUUCCUAGCCUUCAUUCCCUACCUUGACCUCAGAGAGUCUCUACACUACUGGAGAUUCCACUGAGCAGCAAAACAGCCAGCUGCAAUAAAGCAAAAAAAAAAAAAAAAAAAGUGGAGCAGGUAUAGAGUUGUCAACUAUAUUUAUCCAGGCUGUGCCCAGCAUGCUGUGAUUGUACUCAUGGUCUCAUGCACCCCCAGGACUGAUAUUGGAGAGAAACAACAAUUCCUCUGAUUAUCUCAAGCUUCCUGCUCCAAAUCUGGACUUCUGGAGAACAUCCUACUAGACAUGGUGGUGAACCUUGGCUCUGAGUCUUCAUGAUUGAGAGAC